AAUUAACACACAUGCUAAAGCCGAGAUGGCUCACACUUGCUUGGGUUUACUCAUACCCAACAGUUGUACCUGCUGAGAGUAUUUGAAAACUUUCUGGGGUUCAUAUUCCUCCCAGAAAAUUAUAGAAUUUGGGGAGGUUACAACACUUGAUUUGUUAAAAUAAUUCCUUCUAUCCAAAACAGGGGUUCCUGAUUGUUUCAAAGAUGUGCUUUGGCUUGUAAGGAGAAAGAUCUACAGAAAGCUUUCACUCUGACAGGGAAGACAUCUCUGUCAUUGUCAUUUAUUCGUAAGUCUUGCCUUCAUGUAUCACAACAAAUACCCACAGCAUGAUUUCAGGCUUCCAUAGCCAACCAGAAACCUAACAACAUUCAGAAACCUUGAGAAGCCAUUCUUCUAGCUCUUUCUCCCCAGAGAGAGUUGUGGUUUGAAUACAGGAUACGGCCUACGGAAAAGAUUUCCAAGAAUCCUGGUUGCAAGCUUCAGAUCAGCUGGGAUGAAAAAUGUAAAAAUUACUUCAGACCAGUCUACUUUUAUAAUAUCUUCAAUGAAAUAAAAAUUAGAUAGCCUUGAACUUCUAAAAUUUUAUUUGAACACACAUUAUGAGGACAAAGUGGCAGCAGCUUGCUUCUUCUAUCUGCUUUUGAUCCAUUUCUGGCAUCUGUCAUGAAUAUAACUCUCAGUCACAACUGAUUGAAGCACUGGUAUUAUGGAGUGACUUCAUAGAUUCACAAACAAUAAAAAGCUAUUUCUAAUGGCGCUUGGUGAUAAUUUUGUUAAGAGAUAUUCAAAGGUUGCUGUUAAGACUUGUUUAUUUUGAAUUGUGAAAUAAAUGAACACAUUUCCGAGAACUCUUUAAAUAUUAACAAUGAGAAUGCUUUGGUGGUUUUAAAUUAUCUUCUGCUUGACAGUGCCAAAGCUACUUCCUGAACAUCACAUCAGAUCAUUCCUGACCCCAGGGUUCACCCGUUUAUACUAAAAUUAUCAAAUCUUACAACUUAAAGAAACAUGAAGAAAUGUUAAAUUCAAUGCACUUACUCUAAUGAAUUCCUUUCUAUAAUGGGAAUAUUUCCAGUCAAUUAUGUGUAGCUAAAAUGGGUAGUGGCUGUUAGAGAAAGUCUUUUCAAAUAUUUUUCUUUGAUUCAUUCAUCAAAUAUUUAUUGCAUGCAUAUCACAUGCCAGGCUCUAUUUUUGUUUAUCUUGCCUUAUUUAUCUAAAAUUAAUCAACUGAGAAGGUGAAAUGUUUGUCUCACCAUCCACUUGCCUUAUUUUUUCAUGAGGCCAUUAUUGUA
rnacentral:lncRNA from 1 species